rnacentral:tRNA from 1 species
CGGGGUGUAGCGCAGCCUGGUAGCGCGCUUCGUUCGGAAUGAAGAGGUCGGAGGUUCGAACCCUCUCACCCCGACCA